rnacentral:rRNA from 1 species
AGCGCAGGCGGGAAGACAAGUUGGAAGUGAAAUCUAUGGGCUCAACCCAUAAACUGCUUUCAAAACUGUUUUUCUUGAGUAGUGCAGAGGUAGGCGGAAUUCCCGGUGUGGCGGUGGAAUGCGUAGAUAUCGGGAGGAACACCAGUGGCGAAGGCGGCCUACUGGGCACCAACUGACGCUGAGGCUCGAAAGUGUGGGUAGCAAACA